rnacentral:tRNA from 1 species
UUUUUAAUAAUUUAUAUAAAAUAUUAAAUUGCAAAUUUAAAAAAAUUAAAAAAUAUUAAUUUAAAAAU